UUAUUCUCAGGUGCCCGGUCCCAGGUGCAGCUGGUGGAGUCCGGAGGGGAUGAGAAAAAGCCCGGAGACUCUCUCCGCCUUUCCUGCAAAGCCUCCGGGUUCACCUUCAGCGAUUACUACAUGCACUGGGUCCGACAGGCUCCUGGGAAGGGGCUGGAGUGGGUCGCUGAUAUUAGACCCGAUGCAUCCAAGCAGUGGUACUCCCCGGCUGUUGAAGGCCGAUUCACCAUCUCCAGGGACAACUCCAACAACCUGCUGUAUCUGCAACUGACCGGCCUGAAGCCCGAGGACACCGCCCGCUAUUACUGUGCGAGACACAGUGACACGAAACCGAUUUGUGAUCAUACAAAAACCCAGGAGACGGAAUCGCCCUUCUCCCGGCAGCCGCGCGGGGGCAGCAGUGACACACGCACCGCUCCGGGCUGGGACAGGAGACCCGGCACCCGGGUGAAUGUAACACAAACCUCCCGGCACUUUUAA